UAGGCUUUAGUUUAGUAGAGAAUUUUUGACUGUUAAUCAAGAGGAAACGGUAGUUAAGUCUAG
rnacentral:tRNA from 2 species